AAAAAAUUUAGUUAAGUUAUAACAUUAGUUUGUCAUACUAAAA
rnacentral:tRNA from 1 species